rnacentral:misc_RNA from 1 species
UGUAGUUUGCUGAUUGACGGGACUCCAUGUGUACAGUGAGACUGUCCACUGACGCAAUUUUAUAGAAUAAGUGGAUUGAUGUGCUUGAUUUGUGCAGCAAUCUACUUGAAGUAAAAACCACUGGAUAUUUACCACUUGCAUCAGUAGGGAGGGGUACUUUUUUAUGUUUUUCCCAGUACCACAAGCUUAGCCAUAUACAGGCAAUGGGUUUGGCUGCUAAAAUAGUUCUUAGGGCUUUUCUUUUAAGCAAUG